GAUGAACGCUAGCGACAGGCCUAACACAUGCAAGUCGAGGGGUAUGGAAGAGCUUGCUUUUCCAGAGACCGGCGCACGGGUGAGUAACACGUAUGCAACCUACCUAUCAAAGGGGGAUAGCCUUCUGAAAAGGAGAUUAACACCGCAUAAGACCACACUUUGGCAUCGGAGAGUGGUAAAAUAUUUAUAGAUGAUAGAUGGGCAUGCGUCUGAUUAGCUUGUUGGUAAGGUAACGGCUUACCAAGGCAACGAUCAGUAGGGGUUCUGAGAGGAAGGUCCCCCAACUGGUACUGAGACACGGACCAGACUCCUACGGGAGGCAGCAGUGAGGAAUAUUGGUCAAUGGGCGAGAGCCUGAACCAGCCAAGUCGCGUGCAGGAAGACGGCCCUAUGGGUUGUAAACUGCUUUUGUAAGGGGAUAAAAAUGGGGUAACGCGUACUCUAUUGCAGGUACCUUACGAAUAAGGAUCGGCUAACUCCGUGCCAGCCAGCCGCGGUAAACUGU
rnacentral:rRNA from 1 species